GGAGGAGCUGACGCACAGAGCCGAGCUGGCAGCUGGAGGGCAGGAGGAAGAGGAGGAAGAAGAGAAGAGGCUCCCAGCGUGUCCAUUCUGCCAAAUAACUCAUACAGAGAUGACUGGGUGAAGCUGGAAGCGUGGCCAUGAGGUUUUUACAAAGAUGCAAGCAUCGCGCUCUCCUCUCGCCGCUGCAGAGGAAACACACCACUCCUGAGCUGAGGAGUUGUCGGGCUGCCAAUUACGCACAAUAAAUACUAUUUUCCUUCCAGGAUCCCUCACUUUCCCCCUCCACACUUGCUUAGACCUCGACUGUCACAAAAGAUACCUCCUUUUAAUAACCGUGAACAUUUAAAUAACUUGCCCAAGGUCAAACAGCAAGCUAACGGCAGAGGGGAACAGCAGCAGCUUUCCUUUAAUCGCACGAUAAGACUUCAAAGGAACGCUUGGAGACCCCAGAUAGGCUCUGUGUUGCUUCAGAUGCCUUCUAUCUGCAAGGAAGCGAUUGGGGGCAGCAACCACCUUUCUCAGAUGUGGGCUAGACACAGGAUGUCUCAGCCUUGUUCGUUUGUGAUGGGUGCCCAGCUGGCUGACAGCCUUGGGAUAGGAAUUUAAGCUGCAGCCCUGCAGCUCCAGCAGCGCAAGCCUCGGUGCUAUUCGCUGGGGGAAGCAGACUCACAAACCAAAGUGAACCGAGCCACCAUCAGUUUACAUCUCCUUUCCAGGUCUAGCUUAAUGUCCACUGCCUGCUGUAGUCCAGGGUCUGGAAGGCUUGCAGAGGGGGGCUUAGCCCAAGGUAAACCCCAAACGUUAAGUAAAAGAUGUCUCACAUGCACAGAGAAAUAAAAAUGGGUUUCUUCCCUUUUACUGCAGCGUCACCUCUAGCCCUGGGGAGGAAGCAGGAAUCUGUCCGUCUCCCCCACUGCCUGACAAUUUCAGUUUUGAGGCAGAGGGGCUGAAUUUCUUGUCAAUGGCUAAGAAAAGACCUGUCUCUUCCCCUCCCCACACCCUCAGAGGGCUUUAACAAAAAAAUAAAACCCAGCAUACCCAGAAGCAAUACUCACAUACAGCCAGAGAUGAGAAGCUGACAACAGCAACCAAGUUAUACGCAGAGUUGCAACCGAUUCUGAACCCUUUUCUGUUUAAAUGGCAUUUUGUCCCAACACCCAUCAAUGACUUUGUUUUCUUCAUGGGAUACAGAGAGACGGAUUGGCUUAGCUGGAAAGAAAUACCAGCGCAGACUAGGAAAAUCAUCUGAACAAGUUGUUCUGUAAGGAAGAGGCAGAGGGAUGGAAAAGGAGGGUUUGGGAGGCCAGGCUGAAAGGACGGCAGAAGCCGGGACUCACCUCCUCGGCGCUGAGCGGUGACAGAGAAACAACAGAUCAACUUGGAGAGGCUGGUUCACCUGGCAGCCAGGUAGGAGGGCGGGUCCUGGGGGCAGGAGCAAAGCAGCAGAUGCCGGACAAAGGCAACCGGAGGGGAGAGGGCUCUCUGCCACCCACCUGCACAGAGCAGGCUUUUCAGCAACGGCAACCAAAGCUGAAAGGCUGGCACCUCCUGCAGCCCUGGUGUCUCCUGCCCUCUCUCCCCUCUCCUGCUCAAGCACCCAGAAGAACGGGGAGCAGCCAGGCAGGCUGCCUCCGUGGGUGCAACUCCCCCAGCAGCACCAGCAGGGAGCAAGGAGAAGGAGCAGGGAUGGAACCAGGGAAAGCGGCUUCUCAGGGGCCAUUUCUCUAAAGGCAACGGGCCAGCAGGUUGAGUUCACACGUUUCCCCUACUCAGAGUUCGUUCACACACAGCAGAAGCGUUGACAAAUGUCUUCCUGCGCUCACUGUGGCACAGAGACGCAGCAGGGCCCUGCAUGAGGAAACCCCUGGUCUGAGCUGUGCCCCAGCAAGGGCACAGACACGCACGUGGAAACGGGGCUGAAUUCACGGGUGAUGUCACAUGCACGGGCUCCUUUACAGAAAGCAACCCCAGUGUCAGCAGACACCCACCUCCCGCCUCCCAUCAGCCGGCGCAGGCGUUGCUGUGUGCCCAUGCGAACAGACUUUGAA